UACAGAGGGUGCGAGCGUUGUUCGGAAUUAUUGGGCGUAAAGGGCGCGUAGGCGGCGCCACAAGUCACUUGUGAAAACUCUGGGCUCAACCCAGAGCCUGCAGGCGAAACUGUGGUGCUGGAGUAUGGGAGAGGUGCGUGGAAUUCCCGGUGUAGCGGUGAAAUGCGCAGAUAUCAGGAAGAACACCAAUGGCGAAAGCAGCUCUCUGGGACGGUACUGACGCUGAGACGCGAAAGCGUGGGGAGCGAACAGG
rnacentral:rRNA from 1 species